rnacentral:SRP_RNA from 1 species
UGUGCUAUGCGGGGAGCUAGUGGUGCCCUGUUACACGCAAUCCACUACAGCGUGGCAGAAUGCCAAGGGCGGUCUCGUUUGUGGAAAGCAGGCACGAAUAAGGAGUGUUGAUAUCAAGGUCUCGUGCAAUGACUCCCUGUGAACCAUGUCAGGGCGAGAGCAGCAGCAUUAAGCAGUGCGUGUUAUGUGCCACGAGGGUGCUUUGAAGUAGCCACCUGUUCGGAUACCG